rnacentral:rRNA from 1 species
UACGUAGGGUGCAAGCGUUUGUCCGGAAUUAUUGGGCGUAAAGAGUUCGUAGGCGGUUUGUCGCGUCCGUUGUGAAAGCUUGGGGCUCAACCCCAAGUCUGCAGUUGGAUACGGGCAGACUAGAGUCAGGUAGGGGAGAACGGAAUUCCUGGUGUAGCGGUGAAAUGCGCAGAUAUCAGGAGGAACACCGGUGGCGAAGGCGGUCUCUGGGCCUGUACUGACGCUGAGGAACGAAAGCGUGGGGGAGCGAACAGG